UACGAAGGGAGCUAGCGUUGUUCGGAAUCACUGGGCGUAAAGCGCACGUAGGCGGAUUUGUCAGUCAGGGGUGAAAUCCCGGGGCUCAACCUCGGAACUGCCUUUGAUACAGCAAGUCUUGAGUUCGAGAGAGGUGGGUGGAAUUCCUAGUGUAGAGGUGAAAUUCGUAGAUAUUAGGAAGAACACCGGUGGCGAAGGCGGCCCACUGGCUCGAUACUGACGCUGAGGUGCGAAAGCGUGGGAGCAACAG
rnacentral:rRNA from 1 species